GGAAUCUUGCGCAAUGGGCGAAAGCCUGACGCAGCAACGCCGCGUGGGGGAUGAAGGCUCUCGGGUUGUAAACCCCUUUCAGGAGGGACGAAAAUGACGGUCCCUCCAGAAGAAGCGCCGGCUAACUACGUGCCAGCAGCCGCGGUAAUACGUAGGGCGCAAGCGUUAUCCGGAAUUCUUGGGCGUAAAGAGCUCGUAGGCGGUUUGUCGCGUCUGCCGUGAAAGUCCGGGGCUCAACUCCGGAUCUGCGGUGGGUACGGGCAGACUAGAGUGAUGUAGGGGAGACUGGAAUUCCUGGUGUAGCGGUGAAAUGCGCAGAUAUCAGGAGGAACACCGAUGGCGAAGGCAGGUCUCUGGGCAUUAACUGACGCUGAGGAGCGAAAGCAUGGGGAGCGAA
rnacentral:rRNA from 1 species